rnacentral:rRNA from 1 species
GUGGGGAAUCUUCCGCAAUGGACGAAAGUCUGACGGAGCAACGCCGCGUGAGUGAAGAAGGUUUUCGGAUCGUAAACUUCUAUCCUUGGUGAAGAUAAUGACGGUAGCCAAGAAGGAAGCCCCGGCUAACUACGUGCCAGCAGCCGCGGUAAUACGUAGGGGGCAAGCGUUAAUCGGAAUUACUGGGCGUAAAGCGUGCGUAGGUGGUUGUUCAAGUCUGUCGUGAAAGCCCUGGGCUCAACCUGGGAAUGGCGAUGGAAACUGGGCGACUAGAGUGCGGUAGAGGAUGGCGGAAUUCCCGGUGUAGCGGUGAAAUGCGUAGAUAUUAGGAGGAACACCAGUGGCGAAGGCGGCUUUCUGGACUGACACUGACGCUGAGGCACGAAAGCGUGGGGAGCAAACAGGAUUAGAAACCCUAGUAGUCC